AACGAACGCUGGCGGCAUGCCUAACACAUGCAAGUCGAACGAGACCUUCGGGUCUAGUGGCGCACGGGUGCGUAACGCGUGGGAAUCUGCCCUUGGGUUCGGAAUAACAGUGAGAAAUUACUGCUAAUACCGGAUGAUGUCUUCGGACCAAAGAUUUAUCGCCCAGGGAUGAGCCCGCGUAGGAUUAGCUAGUUGGUGGGGUAAUGGCCUACCAAGGCGACGAUCCUUAGCUGAUCUGAGAGGAUGAUCAGCCACACUGGGACUGAGACACGGCCCAGACUCCUACGGGAGGCAGCAGUGGGGAAUAUUGGACAAUGGGCGCAAGCCUGAUCCAGCAAUGCCGCGUGAGUGAUGAAGGCCUUAGGGUUGUAAAGCUCUUUUACCCGGGAUGAUAAUGACAGUACCGGGAGAAUAAGCUCCGGCUAACUCCGUG
rnacentral:rRNA from 1 species